ensembl:snoRNA
AAUCUCCUGGGAUUGUGUCUGGAGAGUGCCCAGUAUUCUACCUCCUUCAGAAAGGAAGGGAAAGCAAACAUUCAUGAAAGGAGAGGCAUUCAUUCCAUUCCCAGGUUGCUCCAGAUCUGGCAGUUGGAAGACAUUCUGCAACAAUG